CGAAGAUCCAACCAUCGAAACUCAAAUCCGAUUUCAGAAACGUGAUCUACAAAACCCGAUCUACGUUUCUACCGAUUGGUUUGAAGAUUUGUUGUGAGGAGCUUGCUAAACACUCUCCAAGUGUUGGAUUUACAUUUGGUGGAAUUUUUGAUACGGCAACCCCCGCAACUGUGCAGAUGUUUAUACUUUGGUUGCAGGUUUUACGGAUAUAGAUAUUGACAAGUCCACCUAGCAUAUGGGAUGCUAUGAUUGGAGCAUAUCGCGACAGUCAUAAGUCACGGACUCAUGGGUAGUCCGUAUUUUAGGGUAUUUUAUUUAUGGCUCGUGUCCUACGUGGCACAUGUAUUUGUUGAGCCUGUAUUUUGAUACGUAAUUAGUGUAAUGUGUUUUGUAAGCCUUAAAUAGAUAGACUUGUAAAUGGCUUUUGUUGUUGAUAAUAGUUAUGUAUUA